CUUAUACAUGCAAGUCGAACGAGAAAGUUCCCUUCGGGGAGCGAGUAAAGUGGCGCACGGGUGAGUAACACGUAGGUGACCUAUCCUAUAGAAGGGGAUAACAGAGAGAAGUCUCUGCUAAUACCGUAUAAGCUGGGCAACUUUUGGAAGGAGCUCAGGAAAGACGGCCGCUACUUGUAAGCUGUCACUAUGGGGAGGGCCUGCGGGUCAUUAGUUUGUUGGUGGGGUAAUGGCUUACCAAGACGUUGAUGACUAGCCGGUCUGAGAGGAUGAUCGGCCACACUGGAACUGAGACACGGUCCAGACUCCUACAGGAGGCAGCAGUAGGGAAUAUUGCGCAAUGGGCGAAAGCCUGACGCAGCGAUGCCGCGUGAGUGAGGAAGGCCUUCGGGUUGUAAAGCUCUGUCCUAGGGGAAAAACAGCAUAAUUAAAAAUAUUAAUAAUGUUUGAUGGUACCCUAGAAGAAAGCACCGGCUAACUUCGUGCCAGCAGCCGCGGUAAUACGAAGGGUGCAAGCGUUGUUCGGAUUUAUUGGGCGUAAAGGGCGUGUAGGCGGAAUAUUAAGUCAGGUGUGAAAUCUCGGGGCCCAACCCCGAAACUGCGCCUGAAACUGAUAUUCUAGAAUCUCGGAGAGGGAAGGGGAAUUUCGCAUGUAGGAGUAAAAUCCGUAGAGAUGCGAAGGAACACCAGAGGCGAAGGCGCCUUCCUGGACGAGUAUUGACGCUGAGGCGCGAAAGCGUGGGGAGCAAACAGGAUUAGAUACCCUGGUAGUCCACGCCGUAAACGAUGAGCACUAGUUGUGGGGUAGGUACUAUUCCGCGAUGCAGCUAACGCAUUAAGUGGUCCGCCUGGGGAGUACGGCCGCAAGCU
rnacentral:rRNA from 1 species